GGGCAGCAGAGAAAGCCGGGAUGAGAGGCCCCUGAGAGCCACAGGGACAUGGACUGGAAAGAUGGCCCAGCUAGUCCUCCUCUUCCUUCAGCCCCAGGCUGAACAGGGGAAGGCCCACAGACGGACAGGAAAUUUGCAGAAUGGAUGGGAACCAGGCAAUCUACUUCUUGGCCUUAACCAGAUUGACAUCAAAGCUUCCUAAAGCGCCUGACACUUGGCUCUCAAGCAGCCCUCGCUAACCCAGAACUAGCUAUAUGUGGCCUACAACUUCUGAUCUUCCUGAUUCCACCUCUCGGGUGCUGAGGUCAUGAGAUCAUAGGUGCAGAGACCCCAGCAACUUUGAAACGGCCUUGGGAGCCUGGGGAAGACAGAACAGAGCCAACUUUCCAGUGGCUGCAUGGAGCCUGCUCAGAGGUCUGUGUGGGCAGCGUCUGGGAUGCCAACAUCCAUGGGCUCUGAGCCUCAGUCAGGAAGGCCCCCAAGCAGGGUGGGACCUUCCCUGUUCCUGGGCCUCUCCCUGUGUCAUUCAAGGGGGCCUCCCACACCCACACUGGUCCCUGCGGUGCAGGCUGGGCCAGCCGGGCUAGGCAGGCAGACACAGUCUCUUCUGCUCCUGGCACAGCCCAGCAUCCAGGAUGAGUCAAACUCAGGUGUCCUGGCUCCCAGCCCAGCUGGAGGAUGCCCCAGUGUAUAUCUGAGCAUGAACAACAAGGAUGCCACACGGAGGGAGAAAACUGUCAUCUCGGGGUCUGUUUCUCUCAGCACAGACCCUGAGCCUUCUCACCUGCCUCACACGCUCCGUCCCUGGACAGCUUCCCCUGCAGCCUAGGCAACGUGCAUACUGGCUUCCCCCACCCACCACAGUAAAAAAAAAUCAUGAGUGAGAA